CCUACGGGAGGCAGCAGUGAGGAAUAUUGGACAAUGGGCGCAAGCCUGAUCCAGCCAUGCCGCGUGCAGGAAGAAGCAUCUAUGGUGUGUAAACUGCUUUUGUACAGGAAGAAACACUCCCUCGUGAGGGAGCUUGACGGUACUGUAAGAAUAAGGACCGGCUAACUCCGUGCCAGCAGCCGCGGUAAUACGGAGGGUCCGAGCGUUAUCCGGAAUCAUUGGGUUUAAAGGGUCCGUAGGCGGUUUAAUAAGUCAGUGGUGAAAUCUGGUCGCUCAACGAUCAAACGGCCAUUGAUACUGUUAGACUUGAAUUAUAAGGAAGUAACUAGAAUAUGUAGUGUAGCGGUGAAAUGCUUAGAUAUUACAUGGAAUACCAAUUGCGAAGGCAGGUUACUACUUAUGGAUUGACGCUGAUGGACGAAAGCGUGGGGAGCGAACAGGAUUAGAUACCCUGGUAGUCCACGCCGUAAACGAUGGAUACUAGCUGUUCGGAGCAAUCUGAGUGGCUAAGCGAAAGUGAUAAGUACCCCGACCUGGGGAGUACGUUCGCAGAUGAAACUCAAAUGAGUGAGNGNGAGAGAGCGAGACGACGACGAGGGAGGAGG
rnacentral:rRNA from 1 species